rnacentral:rRNA from 1 species
GAUGAACGAUGACCGAAUGCUUAACACAUCAGCAAUUGAUUGUUGGCGGACGGGUGAGUAACGCUUAAAUAACUUGCCUCACCGCUAGGGACAACAUUUGUAAACGAAUGCUAAUACAUAAUCCUGUGAGAGAGCUUUGCGUCCCAUUAGCUAGUUGGAGAGGUAACGGCUCACCAAGGCGAUGAUGGGUAGCCGGCCUGCGAGGGUGAUCGGACACAAGGGGACGGAGAAACGGCCAUUACGACUACGGGAGGCAGCAGGGGGGAAUAGUGGACAAUGGACCAAAGUAUGAUCAAGCAAGUCUGUGUGCACGAUGAAGUUUUCGGAAGGUAAAGUGCUUUCAGUUGCGAAGCGGUACCAACAGAAGAAGUGACGGCUAAAUACGUGCCAGCAGCCGCGGUAAUAC